UACGAAGGUCCCAAGCGUUAUCCGGAUUUAUUGGGUUUAAAGGGUGCGUAGGCGGCUUAUUAAGUCAGUGGUGAAAGCUCCAAGCUUAACUUGGGAACUGCCAUUGAUACUGAUGAGCUUGAGUAGAUUUGAGGCGGGCGGAAUGUGUCGUGUAGCGGUGAAAUGCUUAGAUAUGACACAGAACACCAAUUGCGUAGGCAGCUCGCUAAACUCUUACUGACGCUGAGGCACGAAAGCAUGGGGAUCAAACAGG
rnacentral:rRNA from 1 species